ensembl:lncRNA
GUCGGAUUUAGUUAAAGAAGAAGGGGCACCACUGCAUGUGCCUUGGAUAAACAAUGCAAUAUUAAAUCUGUGAAACUGAAAGUUGUCUUUGCUUUAUUGUUUACAGGUGCUUCUUGGGCAUUAACCCUGAGAUGGGCUCAAAUUCAAAGAAGUGUGGAGGCAUCAAUCGACACGUGAGCACGCUCCAAACUGCUGAGUCGCAGAUGUCCCCUGAGACCAACAAGCUGGAUGAUCAGAGACAAGACGAUGUGGAACCAAAGAGAAGUUUAGUAGAAAGGGAUGCUGGUGAUGGAAAUAAGGGACAGAAUGACACAGAUGAGGUACAGAAUACAAGUGAUGAGGCUUUAAACAGUCAGACUACAGGAGAGGAGAGUACUGCAGAAACUGGAAAGAACAAUCCAGUUAGAUCAGAGACUGAGCCUGAAAGGGAGCCCUCGAACAGAGAGACGCUAAGAGAGGAGAAGGACGAUGGAGCAGGAGAGCCAGAGUGUGAAAGGUUUGGAUCACAUGCAGUGACGGACUGGGAACAAAAAAUGGCCCUGGCAUUUUCACCCACCAGCGGCCCACGGAAGCGGGGUGCGCGCGCCCACGCGCAAUUUUUGACGCACGUAAAGAACAGGCACUUUUGAUAGCCCCAGUAAUAGUAAACGUAAAUUCCCAAGCUAUAAACAACUACACCCCAAUACAUAAAACACAUGAAUGAAUCUUCAGUGCCAGCCGCUCCAUAAUACAAACGUGUUUUACCGUCACGCAGUCAUCCAUGUCUACCUCUUCAUCCUCCUCUUGCUCAUAUUCCUCACUGUCCUGUCUUUCUCCCUGGUGUGCUGGUGCUAACAGUAUUAGCGCUAGUGUUAGCUGAAGCUGCACUUGAUUUUAAAAACAAAUCAGUCGGUUUGCAGCAUUUUUCACCGUCAACCAACAGUGCUCUCUGCGAUUUCUCUCUUUUUCUCCGCUCCCACCUUGUGUCGCUUGAUACCUCCAUUAAUUUUUUUGCUAGCUUAAACUCAGUCAACUUCCAACUUCCAACCUCCAACUUCCAACAACCACACUCAGAAGGUCCACUCGAUUCAGUCUUGAAAUUCCCAGAAGGCAUUACUUCAUUUUAACUUUUGCAAACUAUUCAAAUAAAAAAUGCAGGAAGAUUUGUUUUAUUUCAAACCAUGCACGUUUUUGAACAUCUGAAUAAGACAUUUCGCUACAAAACAAUGCAGAGUGAUAUAAAAGUUUGUAACUGUAGAAGGUAACCAUGACUGUGAUUUAGAGACUCGUAUGUGGCAUAUAAAUAGUGAUUAGAUCGCCUUGUUAUUUAGUGUGUAGGACACAAAGAAUUUUGGUUUCCCUUUAGCUUAAAAACUUUAUUGACGCUUGAAACAGCAGGGAGAAUCAAGGUGUGGGACCGCUCUGUGAUUUGUCGGCCGCCUUCAGCUCCGCUUUAUUUUUUAUUAUUUUCAUUUUUAAAUUUAUUGAUUUGCAGCCGCCUUUUGACGCAGCCGCACUGCUUUAUUUAUUUAUAUAGCCUAUUGGUUCAUUUGCGGCCGCGGCCGCUCCGCUUUAUGUUUAUUCAUUUAAUUAAUUAUUUAUUUAUUUGUGAUGCGGCUGCUCCAGGCGGCCCCAGUGGCAUUUGCCCACAUUGCCCAAUGGCCAGUCCGUCCCUGAUCACAUGAUAAAGAUGAUGAGUCAGAUGGAGAAAUAAGUCACAUCAGAUACAUGAAAACUGAUGAGAACGGAACAGCCAGUGAGGUAGAAAACAGUGAAGAUGCGAAGGCACAGGACAAACUGAAUGUAAAUCAAGACAGAGCACAUUCCAGCAUCACACAAGAAAACACAAGCAACAUAUCUGAGGAGGUGAAGAAAAGUGAAGUAGAUGAUGCUUCUGUUAAUGGUAAAAAAAAAAUCAGUCAAAAGCCUGUGAACAUCUGGAUGAAGGAGGAGGUAAUACGAACAGAAAUACUUCUUUAUGCCAAAGAAUACUCAAUCUUCUCUGCUGUCUGUGUCCAAACAAUGCAGAGGAUGAGGGACAGAUGAGAAUAUCUAGGAAGAAAGGGAGUGACACUGUAAAUAUAUGAAAAGAAAAGAAAAGGGGUAUGUGGCAGUGGGGUGUGGUUAAGGUGCUGGCUGCUGGAGGAGAGGGAGGAGUGGCUCAGCCGGUGUUCAGACAGCUGGACAGAAUCAGGUAAUCAAUCAGUGAGGCUCACAGGGUAAAAGAUGAAAAAAUAGAAAAAAUAGAACAGGCCCCCUUCCCAUUGGGUCUCGGGAGGUCAGGAAAGAAAGCAGGAAUGGAGAUGUCUUUCAACUCCCUCAACAUACAACACAAUAUGUAUGUUUGUUUGUCUAAUUGUGGUUCCUGUCAUUUCUCUCAUUUGUCUUGAGUUGCAUCAAUUAAUAAAUAAAUUGAUAAAUAGUUCAUUAAUAAAAUGUUGAAGAAGAGUCAAAUUUCGAAACAAUAUUGAUUACUUACAAGCCAUGAGAGACGUCGCUCCAUGUUGUUCAACAUAUUACACAAAGGUGAUGUGUGUGACUUUCAGGGCUGCAUCUCAGCCUUGUCUUUAAAAUAAGUUUUGAAAAUCUACUUUUUAAAAUGACUUUUACACGAUUUUAUGUUGUAACUCUGUACUGACUGGCGCUAUGUUAAUUAC